rnacentral:rRNA from 1 species
GUGUCAGCCGCCGCGGUAAUACGUAUGGUGCGAACGUUGUUCGGAAUCACUGGGCAUAAAGAGCACGUAGGCGGUCGAGCAAGUCCGGUGUGAAAUCCCCCGGCUUAACCGGGGAACUGCACCGGAUACUAUUCGACUAGAGUGCAGGAGGGGAGAGUGGAAUUCCAGGUGGAGCGGUGAAAUGCGUAGAUAUCUGGAGGAACGCCGGCGGCGAAAGCGACUCUCUGGUCUGCAACUGACGCUGAGGUGCGAAAGCUAGGGGAGCAAACGGGAUUAGAUACCCGUGUAGUCC